rnacentral:rRNA from 1 species
AUACGGAGGAUCCGAGCGUUAUCCGGAUUUAUUGGGUUUAAAGGGUGCGCAGGCGGCCAUUUAAGUCUGCGGUUAAAUCGUGGGGCUCAACCCCAUUCUGCCGUUGAUACUGGGUGGCUUGAUUGCGGUCGAGGUUGGCGGAAUUCGUUGUGUAGCGGUGAAAUGCAUAGAUAUGACGAAGAACACCGAUUGCGUAGGCAGCUGACCAGACCGCAAAUGACGCUCAUGCACGAAAGUGCGGGGAUCGAACAGGAUUAGGUACCCUGGUAGUCCGCACAGUAAACGAUGAAUACUUGUUUUCGGCGAUAUAAUGUCGGAGGCAAAGCGAAAGCGAUAAGUAUUCCACCUGGGGAGUACGCCGGCAACGGUGAAACUCAAAUGAAUUGACGGGG